UUAGUGGGAAUUUUCCUUGGGGAGGGGGUGAAAUUGGUAAGAUAAAAGGAAGGGACCCCCAGGGGGGAAAGGGCGGGCUACCCUGGACCAACCACUGACCACUGAGGUUGGAAAAGCGUGGGGGAGCAAAACAGGAUUAGAUACCCUGGUAGUCCACGCCGUAAACGAUUGUCAACUAAGCCCGUUGGGGAUCUUUGAAUCCUUAGUGGCGCAGCUAACGCACUAAAGUUUACCGCCUGGGGAGUACGGCCGCAAGGUUAAAACUCAAAUGAAUUGACGGGGGCCCGCACAAGCGGUGGAGCAUGUGGUUUAAUUCGACGCAACGCGAAGAACCUUACCUGGCCUUGACAUGCAGAGAACUUUCCAGAGAUGGAUUGGUGCCUUCGGGAACUCUGACACAGGUGCUGCAUGGCCGUCGUAAGCUCGUGUCGUGAGAUGUUGGGUUAAGUCCCGUAACGAGCGCAACCCCUAUCCUUGGUUGCUAGCAGGUAAUGCUGAGAACUCCAGGGAGACUGCCGGUGACAAACCGGAGGAAGGUGGGGAUGACGUCAGGUCAUCAUGGCCCUUACGGCCAGGGCUACACACGUGCUACAAUGGCGUAUACAGAGGGCUGCCAACUCGCGAGAGUGAGCCAAUCCCUUAAAGUGCGUAGGUAGUCCGGAUCGCAGUCUGCAACUCGACUGCGUGAAGUCGGAAUCGCUAGUAAUCGCGAUCAUUUUUUUUUUCUUGAUACGUUCCCGGGCCAUGACACACCUGCCCCCCUUCCAUGAGUGAUUGCACCAGAGUGGUUAGUCUACCUUCGGGGGAGCAGUCCAACCGGGGGUUGAAUUU
rnacentral:rRNA from 1 species